UGGGUAGUCCGCACGAGCGCACCUUAAGCUUAGUUGCCAUCAUUAAGUUGGGCACUCUAAGUUGACUGCCGGUGACAAACCGGAGGAAGGUGGGGAUGACGUCAAAUCAUCAUGCCCCUUAUGAUUUGGGCUACACACGUGCUACAAUGGACAAUACAAAGGGUAGCAAAACCGCGAGGUCAAGCAAAUCCCAUAAAGUUGUUCUCAGUUCGGAUUGUAGUCUGCAACUCGACUACAUGAAGCUGGAAUCGCUAGUAAUCGUAGAUCAGCAUGCUACGGUGAAUACGUUCCCGGGUCUUGUACACACCGCCCGUCACACCACGAGAGUUUGUAACACCCGAAGCCGGUGGAGUAACCUUUUGGAGCUAGCCGUCGAAGGUGGGACAAAUGAUUGGGGUGAAGUCGUAACAAGGUAGCCGUAUCGGAAGGUGCGGCUGGAUCACCUCCUUUCU
rnacentral:rRNA from 1 species